rnacentral:rRNA from 1 species
CGUUUAGGGGUAAACCUGAGAAACCCGAAAGGUCGAAGGAAGAAAUUCAUUCGUGUUUCAUUGUCGACUAAAUUGAUUAUAUUUGACGAUAAAUAAGUUGUUUUCAUCAAUUUGGUGAUUUUCGAUUUAUACGUUGCUAAAUAAUUAUUUAUUGUCUGAUGGUGAACGCGUGCAUUUUUCUUCUGGUAGGACGUUGCGAUCCGUUAGCAAAAAUUAAAUCAAUCUAUGAUUUAUAGUUAUAUGUUCAUUGAUACAUGUAUAAUUUUUUUAUAUAUGUUAUUAUUAAUGAAGCUGUAAAAUCUGAUUGAUAUAUCUGACGGUAGAUUAAUGGUUAAAAGUCGCUAAAUAUAUUUAGCGUUAGAGGCAAGACAAAUAUAUAAAUUGUGUAAAGGUAUAAUUAUUGUUUUUUAAAUGGUAAUUAUAUUCUCGGUAAUCGGUAUUUAUAUCAAUUCCGAGCCGUUUAUAUAUUGUUAGUCGAGCAAAUCUCUAACAGACUUUAUUAUCUACUAUAUAUAAAACCAAUCUGCAACGCUAUAGCUUUGGGUAAUUUCAGGACCCGUCUUGAAACACGGACCAAGGAGUCUAGCAUGUUCGCAAGCCAUUGGGAUGUAUUAAACCUAUAGGCAUAAUGAAAGUAAAAAUUAAUUUAUCUUGUAUAAAUUAUAGGGAAGAUGAAUAAUGUGUGUUAAUUAAUUCAUUUAAUUAAUAUAAUAAAUUAUUUCGCAUUCCCGGGGCGUUUAAAUUUUAUUUGUUUGUUUUAUGCAUUCAAAUGAGAUUAUGCGCACCAAGAGUGUACACGCUGGGACCCGAAAGAUGGUGAACUAU